rnacentral:rRNA from 1 species
UACGGAGGGGGCUAGCGUUAUUCGGAAUUACUGGGCGUAAAGCGCACGUAGGCGGCUUUGUAAGUCAGAGGUGAAAGCCUGGAGCUCAACUCCAGAACUGCCUUUGAGACUGCAUCGCUUGAAUCCAGGAGAGGUGAGUGGAAUUCCGAGUGUAGAGGUGAAAUUCGUAGAUAUUCGGAAGAACACCAGUGGCGAAGGCGGCUCACUGGACUGGUAUUGACGCUGAGGUGCGAAAGCGUGGGGAGCAAAC